CGCAGGGCGGCGGGCGGACGCACGUCGACGCGCCGCACCGCCAUGGGGUGGGGGUGGGGGUGGGGGUAGGGCGGGGUGGCCACGCGGGGGCCCGCAGCGGGACAGGGGGGCUGCUGGCUGUCGUUGUUUCUGUUGUUUCUGGGGAGGAGGUGGAGGAGGAGGAGGUGGAGGAGGUGGUGUUGAGGGGCUUGGAGGAGGAGGUGGAGGAGGAGGUGGUGUUGAGGGGCUUGGAGGAGGAGGAGGUGGAGGAGGUGGUGUUGAGGGGCUUGGAGGAGGAGGUGGUGGAGGAGGAGGUGGUGUUGAUGGCCUUGAGGUUGUUGAGCAGCAGGAGGUGGGGCUCCGCUGACAGGCUGCUGCCGAUGCUCUUGGUGCCCGACGAGGGGGAGGAGCCUGACGGGGAGGGGGAGGAGCCCGACGGGGAGGGCGAGGAGGAGGAGGAGGCGGAGGAGGACGAGGAGCAGGAGGGGAGGGAGGAGCGGCAGGUUGGGACGGCGGUGACGGGGGCGUGGCCGACGUCGCUGACGUUGUUGAUGAGGUUGUUGAGGAUCUCCAGGUUGAGGGCGGGGCCUCUCCUCCCGCCCGUCCCGCCCACAUUCCCUCCUCCUCCUCCUCCCACUCCCGUCUCCGCCGUGAUUGGUCGGCGUGGGAGCUUGCGGGCCGGGGGCGUGGCUAUCUGGCCGCGCAUGGCGGGCGUGAGCAGGGGCUUGCGGAUGAUGGGGGUCUUGGGGGAGUCGCCGGUGGUGUUGUUGGGGGCGGAGCCGCAGUGGGGGGGCUUGACGGGCGCCUGCCGCGUCAGGACCACCUGCUGGCUCUUGACGUAUUUGGCCUUGUCCGCCUCCAGCCGCUCCACGGCGCUCAGGCGCCGCGAGCCGGGCUCCGCCAGCGGGCGCCGGAAGUAGGCGGGGCCUUUGUUGAGGAGGCGGAAGGGCAUGGAGGACACGCCCCCCGACGACGGGAACAGGGUCUCCACCGGCAUUGUGCAGGGGCUGCAGAGGGGGGAGAGACAGAGAGACAGAGGCCGUGAGACACGGGGACACUUCCUGUGACGUGGUCCUACCUACUUUAGUAGUCUUAUUUAAGUAUUAGUAUUAUAUUAAGGGGGCCCACACAAAGCCCAGACUCAAGCCAACAGCCAACUGCCUUCAUCCAACCACUCCGUUGCCUGUCGUCCGACCCGUUCGGCAGAAAAGUUGCAUUGAAACACACCGCGAAGACUACUGGCAACUACACAGUAGCGUGGACGUUCUGCUCUUGAGCGAGAUGCAAUAAGUCUCCGUAACAUCAGGUGGCGCUAGUCUCGUGGCGCUCGUCCACCCCUCCCACACACCGCGCUGAAAACCAAUCAGAGUAUCCAAUGGCUCCGAUCCACAGACCGCCGACUCUCUCAGAGUUUGCGAGUUGAAUCGGACCAAACACUGUCCGCGCUGCUCCAAAAGCUUCCAACACAGAUGAACACACUGAACAGAUUCGUUUCCGAACUCAUCCGAGUCUCCCCAAACAUUUCAGAUGGCCAACGGUUGGGCCAGAGUGUUCCACGUUUUAACAUUAUUCGACUGCUGUCGUAAUCGUGACUCCUUGGAUGUUUAUCUUUGUGUUUCACUUUUCUCACUGUGAUGGAAUGUUUCCUGUGCCAACAAAGCUCUUUGGAUUUAACUGAGACAGAAGACAGAGAGAGAGAGACAGAGAGAGAGACAGAAACAGAGAGAGAGACAGAAACAGAGACAGACGAGGAGAGAGAGUGAGAGGGACGGAGAGAGAGAGAGGGAGACAGAGAGACGAGGAGAGAGAGUGAGAGACAGAGAGACGAGGAGAGAGAGAGAGAGGGACAGAGAGAGAGAGAGAGAGAGAGAGAGAGAGAGAGAGAGAGAGAGAGAGAGAGAGAGAGAGAGAGAGAGAGAGAGAAUGAGAGAUGAGGAGAGAGAGAGAUGAGAGACCGAAAGAGAGGGGGAGAAAGGGGGAGUAUGGGUGUGAACAGUGAGUCUUCUGGUCAGGAGGCGUGUGAAAGAAGAUCGCUCAGUUGUUUCCUUUGUGCUCCACAACAAAAAAACACCCCAUAAUACUCCUGAAGGGAGAGGGGGGAGGCAGGGGAGAGGGGGGAGAGCAGGACAGAGGGGGAGAGAAGGAGAGAUGGGAGAAUAGAGGACCAGAUAAAGACUGAAACUAUGUGGAGGAUUAGGCCACUAACUAACUAACCAACUAACUCACCUACUCACUCACAUACUGUUUUAUCCAAAGCGACAUACACUAAGUACAUUUGUCAGAAGAACGAGAAACAACAAUAUAUCGCUGUCGGUACAGUAAGGAUGUCCAUAGAACCAAGUGCCAAGCACUAACAAUCACUAGGUUAACCUAUCCCCCGUAUACAACAAAGAUAGCUAGGAUAAGGUGCUACACAAUGCUACAAGUACUAUUUUUAAGUGCCAGGACGUACAACAGGCCUAUACAACUAGCGGCCCGUGGGCCAAAUGCGGCCCCUCUUAAUUUUUUUUAUGGCCCGCAAGAGGUUGCAUGCAAAAAAUAAAUAAAAUAAAGGAGAAACAUAGUUGCAUGCAAAUCAGGUUUCUGUUUGUAGCCGGUGAUACUAGCCAGUAUCAGUACCAAACAAUCAGUAACUGGCAUCACUUAUUCUGACAAUGUUUAGCUCAACCGAUACGUAUGAGUCUAGCUUUUCUCAUAUGAAUGCCAUCAGAACAAGGGCACGUUGCUCCAUGACCUAUGAGAAGCUGCAUGAGUGUCUCAGGAUGAGCCAAACUAGGCAAACGAGGCAGUGCAAUCUUUCUCACUGACUCACUGGCUCAAAAUGUCUCAUAUGUACAGUAGUUCUGUUUGGUGAUGAUUCAAACAACAUUGUUGAAUUCUAAAUACGUGUCCAAAAUAUGUGAGAACAAAAUCUUUUAUAAUGGUACGAUUAAAAGUGAAGAAGGAAGGAAUGCUUCUGACAAGUUUAUUCCAUGUAGUAGUACUAUAUAUAUAAAGUUAACACUACUUUAAGUAAGAUUUAUUUGUAGCGAUUCAUUCACAUAGUUUUACUCUGUGUGGCCCAUGAACCCCCAGUGGUUUUCCUUUUCGGCCCACUUGUUAAGGAGGUUGAAUAGCCCUGACGUACAACAUACAAUAAGAACAAUAACUCACCCAGCAACUCACCCAUUCACUCACCAAUAGCCAACCAGACAUCAUCCUACAACCAAUCAUACAGCAUCCAGCCAACCAACCAGACACCAUCCUACCAGCCAAUUAUACACAUCCAAUCAAUCAACCAGACACCAUCCAACCAACCCAUCAGAGACCAUCCAACCAACCAACCAGAGACCAUCCAACCAACCAAUCAGACACCAUCCAACCAACCAACCAGACACAAACCAACCAAUCA
ensembl:lncRNA